rnacentral:tRNA from 1 species
GGCGCCUUGGCGGAGCAGUUACGCAGCGGUCUGCAAAACCGCGUAGGUGGGUGCAACUCCCACAGGUGCCUCCA